CUGCAUCUGGCCUCACACGAACCAAGCCACACAGAUGGGGGACCAGAAACCUAAGGAAACAGCAACAAAUUGGUGUGAGUUGCUGAGUAUUUUCUGAAGCCUUUUCAGAGUUGGAAAUCAGUCAAAUCCUAGUAGUAGCUAGGAUUUAAAGGGAUGGAGGAGGUGUCCUGUUGAUGUCUCUUUUUCCUUCAACAUCAACAAGAAAACCCAAGGUCUUUUUUUCUUAGAGAGGCGUAUUGCUACAUUUGGGGCAAUGCGUACAUAUGUGGUUUCGUUAGCUCCAGCGGGGGCUAAUCCUCUGACAGAGCCACCUCUCACACGAAACACUGAAUGGAGGCGAUCCCGAGAUGGAUGGAGCAGCAGCAGCGCAGGUUGCUGCAGGUGUGGCUACAAGGAGAAGAUAGCUGUCUGCAAACUGUCCUCAUCAGACACUAGAUCUGCUGGUAUCUUGAUCUUGGACUUGGAAGCCUCCAGAUCUGUGAGAAAUAAAUGUUUGUUGUUUAAGCCACCCAAUAUAUGGUAUUCUGUUGUAGCAGCCUGAACUGACUAAGACAGCAAAAUUAAAAAGAUUAAUGAUAGUCUUUACAACGGCCUAAAAGGCCU
rnacentral:lncRNA from 10 species